rnacentral:miRNA from 1 species
UUGCCAACUCCUCCCAUGCCGA